AACUUUGUGAAGAGGCGGUACCAUGACCAGUGAACUAAAUCCGAGGCGUGGUUAUUGCUAGUAGUAAAUUAUAUAAAUAUAUAUUUUCGUACAUAUCUCUCUCUCUCUCUAUAUAAUAUAUAUAUAUAUAUAUAUAUA